AGAACGAACGCUGGCGGCGCGCUUAACACAUGCAAGUCGGACGCUCCCUUCGGGGGGAGUGGCGGACGGGUGAGUAACGCGUGGGAACCUGCCCUGGAGUUCGGGACAACCGCGGGAAACUGCGGCUAACGACCGGAGUACGACCCCGUGGUAGCGAUAUUGGGGGGAAAGUUUACGCUCUGGGAUGGGCCCGCGUCGGAUUAGCUUGUUGGUGGGUAACGGCUACCAAGGCAUCGAUCCGUAGCU
rnacentral:rRNA from 1 species